GUGGCUCAGCCUCAGCUUCUCUUUCUCCUUCCCCUCUAAUCACUGACACUCUCCUAAACUAAACUAAUGUCAAAUAUUCUUCUUGGGAUGGUCAAGGGAUGGAAAGGGUCUUCAGGGUGACCCUGUGAAGUUCAAGGUAUUAGCACCCUUUGCUGCAGUUGUUCUUUUCUUUCUUUAGUUGAUAAUCUAAAGAUAUCAGGAAUCCUUUCUCUUCAGGGCAAAGGAAAUGGAGGCAAGGCUUUGUCACCACAGAUUGGGAUCUCAAGCUUGGGUCCUAGCUCCUAUCUCACCAGAGUUCACAGAGCAAAGACCUCUCUUUUCCUCUUUUCUCCCACAAGCCUCUUCUGCCCCUCCAACUGCUGCUCCCCUUCCUGGCAACAUUCUAAACAAUGAUUCCUCAAUCUCAGUUUUCCUUUCCACACUAGUUGCGUUCUCCACCUCAUAACUGUGACAGAAGUGUGAAUUGUCUAGGACAGCCUUAGUGUAAGGAGAGGUGCCUAAGAUAUGAAAGAAAGGGAAUGCCAUACCAAUAUGAGAGCAAGUACGUUUUAUUCAGGAAUGUUGUGUGUGUGUGAGUACUUCCUUACAAGUCCAAUUCUUGGAGAUGGUAGCUCAGAGGUAGACUUCUGGAUCCCACUCAGAUCUAGGCAAGGGUAAAUCAGGAUAGAACCAAGAAGGCAUAGUGAGGAAGCAGAGCUCCUGCUCCCUCAUGACCAACACCAACUGUGUUCCUCUGUGCCUUGGAAUUGAGUUCCAGAAUUGCUCAUGGGCAUUAGAGUUGCCAAUCAGCACCAGCCAAGCUGCAAAUGACAAACUGCCACCAGGAGGCUCCCAACAUGGAAAAACCCAACGUCUGAAAGAGAGAGAGAGAGAGAGAGAGAGAGAGAGAGAGAGAGACAGAGACAGAGAGACAGAGACAGAGACAGAGAGACAGAGACAGAGACAGAGAGAGAGAGAGAAAGAAAGAGAGAGAGAGAGAGAGAAAGAGAGAGAGAGAGAGAAAGAGAGAGAGAGAGAGAGAGUGGCAAGAGGAAGUGACACAAAAUAUAUAGACCAUUCUUUACAUCACUUCCUGUGUCUGACAUAUACCAAUGGUAGCUUAAGCUUGACAGGACAGUCCAGGGAGUCGGUCAGUUGUUUCUUAUUUGUCACUUGCUGGCACAUGUUGAUCAUAGGCCAUCCUCCUCAACAAUUACUCCUUAAGUAGGUGUGUAUACAUUCCUGUUUGCUAGAAUUCUAAGACUAAUCAGGGUGUAGUAAAAUUUAAAAUUCACAGUAUACUUGGCCCAAGUCACUUCUCCCUAUCAACUUUUAAAAUAUUUUUUAACAUCCUUAUGUUUCAUGAGUAUGAUAUUAAAAGCGAAAAGAGUGGUCUUACCAACAAAAAAGACCUGAAUUCAAAUCUAUCUUCAGAAAUGUACUAACUCUGUGAUGUUGGGCAAGUCACUGAAGCCUGUUGACCUCUGCUUCUUCAUUAAAAUAAGCUGGAGAAGAAAAUGGCAAACCACUUCAUUAUCUUUAUCAAGAAAAACACAAAUGGGAUCCCAAAGGGUAUGACAGUACUGAAACUACUGAACAACCAAAAAUAGAGGCAGAUAGAUCUAUCAACAGAUUAGGUGCUAAAUAGAUAGAUAGAUAGAUAGAUAGAUAGAUAGAUAGAUAGAUAAAUAGAUAGAUAGAUAGAUAGAUUUACAAAGUAUAAUAUUUUAUAUUAACAAGAGUAAGGACUAUACUUGAAAUUUUAUAGGUAGAAAUAAUUCCCAGAUGAUAAAACUUCCUCUAAAAAUGUAGAUUGUUCGACUUCCGGUUAAGAUGGCGGCUUAGAGAAAGCUGAGGUUCAGAUCUCCGGAAAACCCUUCCUGACCGAUCUCAAACUAGAAGCUCCUAAGGCGCCGAAAUUCAAAACGAUCAACAGCACAGACCCUGGGAACCCUCCUCCUGGACCUGGACCCGGUUCAAAAGGUACGGCUCCCCUUAAAAGCCAGAACCCGAGAUCCCUCGGACCUCAGGGGUAGGAGCGCAGAGUCCAAGGCUCCCGGAAGCGGCAGCCGCGCCGGGCUCAGAGAGCAGGGUCUGAGGAACAACAACCCUCAGGGUCUUCUACCCAAGUCCCAGUCCGGGUGAAAGUUACUGCCUGGGGCCUCAGCUGCAAAGAGCUGGUCGGUCCGGGUGAAAGUUACUGCCUGGGGCCUCCGCUGCAGAGAGCU
ensembl:lncRNA